ensembl:snoRNA LOC120094447 small nucleolar RNA SNORD113/SNORD114 family
UGGGUCAUUCGUCUGAGACAUGCAUGAUGACCACAACAUUGUGAGUCUGAGGUCCAC